ACACACACACACACAGUCUCUAUUUUAACAGUUCUAGUAGGUUUUUUCAAAGAGCAUUCCUGGCCUGUGUAUGUGAGCCUGCUCUGUGGAAUUUCAAUUUUCAUCUUCAGAAUCCUUCCUUGGCAGAACUCUUGUUUUUAGGGACUUGGGAAAUGUAAUGGAGCGGCUUGCAUACAUGAUUCCCAGCUCUUAUUGAGGUCUCCUUUUGUCUGUCUGUCUCUCAUUCACCCUCCUCUUAAGACACAAGGAUGAAGGUAGGAGAAGCACUCUUGGUAACAACUAUAUUGAUUUUAUGACCUAAACAUAAUGGUGCACAGCUUCUGGAUCUCAGUAGAUUUCUGGCUUAGGAAUCUUAGACUUCUUAUCUUAGACUUCCUCCUUUCAUCCUUUUCCUGUUCUGCAACUCCUUCUCUCACGUACACUGCCUUUAAUUUUAUGUGAAAAUUUGCUUAUUCUGCUUGUAGAUGAAAUUGUUUUAAUAGCAGUGUAGAAAAUAUAUAGUCAUGUCAUGUUGAAUUUUGGGUUGGUUGGCUUCUUUUGGAGCAUUCUGUAGUAAAGUUUAAAAARUAACCAGCAACAAAGCACUCUCCAAAAUAAUUUWWAAAAAAACAAAGGAAAAACACAAACAAACAAUCCAGAAUUGUGUAAUUCAUGUAAGGUUUUGUAUUCAUGUUUUGUAUGGGUGGGUGGAAGUACCUGCAGGUUUUCUUACAUAUGUAUUUACUGUGGAAAAUAGCAUAAUAGUUCAGCAAAGUUUUCAUUUCAUGGUGUGUAUAGUUUAAUUUUAGAGGGAUUUAGUUAUGCAACAGGAAAAAAACCUUCUAUACUUAAGCUAGAACCUGAAAGCAACCAGGCAAUUUAAAGAAUAGUAUCAGUUACACUUGGAGUUUCAAAUUAAGAAUUUGGCCUAAAUGUAAAAAUGAGAAAUGCACUUCCAAAGGUAUUAAAUGUGGCAGCUGUCUCAUUGAAAUAAUAUUCAUUUGGUCUUUUAAGGUAAAUCUAUAAUUACAAAGCAGUACUUUCUCUUGCUAGAGAAUAUUUUUUAUAUACUUUUUCCAGAAAAGUUAAUCUCCUGCUGCUGGCCAGCGUUUUUACUCAAAUCUAUCUUUAUCUUUGCCUUCCACUUUAUAUGUGUGUGUGUAUAUAUAUAUAUGGUGGAGAUUUUAUCUUUACCUUUUCCUCUCUUGGCUUAUGCCUAGCAGAGUUUCUUCAUGGGGGAAGAUGAACUGUCAGAGCAUACCUUCACUGUUUAGGUUUAUUUUGACUUUAAUUCACCAUGAUAGCCCUGUUAAUUUCCAGAAGUUAUCAUGACCUGACUAGAAGGCUUAUUGCAAUGGAGUGGAGUGCUUGGGUCCAUGCUGUGAGAAUCUUUCAUUGAGAUUAUUGAAAUUGCUGCAGUGAGAAUGGAAAUCACUUGGGCUCCUUUCGUUUUAAAAGCUGGAUGCAAGAACUGUGUGGAUUGGCCUGGUGUGGUGCUGGACCGUGGAAGAUAUUUGUGGACUGUGCAAGAAAGAAGGCUGAUGUUCCUAUAGGUGCUGCAGAAAUUAGUAAAAAAAAUCUGUAGGCAAUGGAACWAAUGGCUGCAAGUAGAGGAAAAGAAGUCUUCAUGGUUAUGUCAAGUGAGAAUUCCUAAGAAUUGGAUGAGAUAUUUAUUUUUCUGCCUUUAUUCUUGCAUGAUGCUGGACAAGUUAGCAGGCCAUUGCUUCUGUAGUGCUUAUAUUGUGCUUUACUUUAGAGGUGUCUGAUUUAAAAUUCUCAUGUCUGAAAGAAACACUGGUGGUUCACAUUGGUAGCUGAGGUUCUUAGGAGUUGUUAUUUGAAUUAAAAUAAUCUGUAAAGUUACACCUGCUGACAGUCUCCUGCCUUCUUAAAGGGUACCUCAAACUAUUCUAUACUAUGAUAGUUUCUACACCUCCAUGUCACAUUUAAAAUAGGGGUAAUAGACACAUACCUUGAAAGGCUGUUCGCUACCUUUGUUGAGUACCUGUACUACAGUAAUGCAUUUUAUUGUGGAAUUUUCUAUGGCAUUUAUUAAUUCUGAUUUUGGAGGAAGCAGUGAGUACUGUGCAUCUUGUAAAGACCACAUCUACACUCAACUUUCCUUGUUACCAGCUCAGGCUGAGAAGCAGAGUUUCCAUGCUGUUUAUUCASGGUGUAUUUCUGCAGUCCUGUCAACUCCAAAAUACUCUGAUUUGUGUCCUGUCUUGUCACUGUGGACUGUGACACUAUCACACUGAUGUAUUCUGCAAAUAUAAUUGUUAUUAUCAUUAAACGCUUGUGUGUGCUGUUUUUUGAAUGUCGUUUUCGUAAGUAAUAUCUUCAACAUUUUGCAAAAUCUUCUGUACGCUAAGGGUAAUGUACACGUUUGAACUUCAGCAUAUUUGACAAUAAAUUUACCUGAGAAGAUCUAUUUUCCAGAAAGAACAAUCUAGUUAAAUUGUAACAACUGCUUAAUGUACAGUGAUAAGCACUGCAUCUUUAAAAAUGUGARGUGACUUAUGUAUUUGGGACUUCUACAGCUAUUUUCUUCACAUUUCAAAGGCAGUUUUCUUGUUACUGUAURAGGCAUGUUUUGCUAAGUGAGAGUGGUAUGCACUGGAAAGUUAGAGAUCUGAAUAUGUUUCAGCUUUUCCCUUAGUCAUGGUAUCUUGUUAAAUAUGAGGGAAGUCUCUUCUAAUCAGGUAGCAGUACUAGCAGUAAUGAUUGAAAUUUGAGGUAUUUAUACUCCCUUUAUAUUCAUCACAACCUACUGUCAGAGAAGUCACAAGAAAUUAUAGAAAUAUAUCYAAAGUGGUGAGCUGCUAUUUUUCCUGUUUAACAGCAGCAGCAAUUCUUCAUGUAAAAACUAAAUUUUUUAAAUGUACUUGAAGAGAAACUGAUGUCUGAGAUAUAAGUGAAUCUCCUUUCUAAGAUGGCAGUUCUAACUGUGUAUCAGAAUAAAAUAUUAAACUAUAAAGAGAAAUAAGAAAAAAAAUGGGAAAAAAAUGCAAUGGCAUGAGUGACUUUGCUCAUCUUUCUGUGAGUGGGAUAAUAAUAAUUGGAGUUCUACUUUUUUACUCUAAAUAGUUUAUUUCUGUUAGAAGUUUUUUAGUGGUCAUCAGUUAAUUCUCUUAUUUUUUCCACAUUUUAUUCACUUAAAAUAGCUCUGUAUUUGUUA